rnacentral:tRNA from 1 species
GGAGGGUGUAGCUCAGUGGUAGAGUGCCUGCUUAGCAAGCACGAGGUCCUGGGUUCAAUCCCCAGUACCUCCA